rnacentral:rRNA from 1 species
AUUGAACGCUGGCGGCAGGCCUAACACAUGCAAGUCGAACGAGUGGCGGACGGGUGAGUAAUGUCUGGGAAACUGCCCGAUGGAGGGGGAUAACUACUGGAAACGGUAGCUAAUACCGCAUACCAUCGGAUGUGCCCAGAUGGGAUUAGCUAGUAGGUGGGGUAACGGCUCCCCUAGGCGACGAUCCCUAGCUGGUCUGAGAGGAUGACCCGCCCCACUGGACCUGAGACACGGUCCAGACUCCUACGCGCGGCAGCAGUGGGGAAUAUUGCACAAUGGGCGCAAGCCUUAUGCAGCCAUUCCGCGUGUAUGAAGAAGGCCUUCGGGUUGUAAAGUCCUUUCAGCGAGGAGGCGUUACUCGCAGAAUAAGCACCGGCUAACUCCGUGCCAGCAGCCGCGGUAAUAC